rnacentral:rRNA from 1 species
GACGAACGCUGGCGGCGUGCUUAACACAUGCAAGUCGUACGGUAAGGCCCUUUCGGGGGUACGAGUGGCGAACGGGGGAGUAACACGUGAGUAACCUGCCCACAACUUUGGGAUAACGCUAGGAAACUGGUGCUAAUACUGGAUAUGUGCUCCUGCUGCGUGGGGGGGGGUGGGAAGCUCCGGCGGUUGUGGAUGGACUCGCGGCCUAUCUGCUUGUUGGUGGGGUAGUGGCCUACCAAGGCGGCGACGGGUAGCCGGCCUGAGAGGGUGACCGGCCACAUUGGGACUGAGAUACGGCCCAGACUCCUACGGGAGGCAGCAGUGGGGAAUAUUGCACAAUGGGCGCAAGCCUGAUGCAGCAACGCCGCGUGCGGGAUAACGGCCUUCGGGUUGUAAACCGCUUUCAGCAGGGACGAAGCUUUUUGUGACGGUACCUGCAGAAGAAGCACCGGCUAACUACGUG